UACUUUCACUUUCGAUUUACCACUUCCGGGUACAUCGGCAGACCUAUUUACCGUUACGCAUAUAGGUAACCCGAAGAACUCGAGGGAUAUAGAAGUUAAAUUUGUUUCGGUCCUCUUCAGAUUUGAAGGAAUGGAUAGCACGGGUCAAAAAAUGCAGAUGUAUAGACAAGGAGGUAUAUGACAAGUAUAGAAUAUACAGUUGUUCAAUAUGGACCAUUAAUCAACUGUUUGCACUGCCUAUGAUCCUGAAAUAUCUAUACAUCAAAGAUAAAAAGGGAAAAGAUGAAGGAGGAUUUGUCCAUGAAGACCUUUAUUGCAACUACCAUCUUCCAGUUCCAUAAUUUGAGAAUGAUAUCAGAGAACACAAAGUUACAGUGAAAUAUUAGUUAAUAUAAGCCACUGAGAAUAGUCAAAUGUACUUUCCUGAAGAAGAUCAAUGACAUCCAGCACAAAAAUAUUAAUGUAUAAAGAGUAUGAUUUUAUGGUGUUUGACACUAUGAUCUUGUUAACAUGUUAAUGUCACAAUGAUAGAAACAGAGUAAAAUAUCCACAUUUCAUUGCAGUUUUAAGUAUUAUUACUAGAUACUCUAUAUAUACCAAAGCUGAUAACACACCAGAGAUAAGGUUUUUCAUGGAAUCACAGUAUAGUCAUAUGACAUUAUGGACAUUAAAUGACUAUGAAGUAAAGAUUAGCAAAAAUAUUAUAUAUCAUCUACUACUAAUAUUGUGAGGUAAUCAUUGAUAAGCUCACAAUUUGC